UGGUGGAGUGAUUUGUCUGCUUAAUUGCGAUAACGAACGAGAUCUUGACCUACUAAAUAGCCCGAUCUGCUUUGGCAGUUCGCUGGCUUCUUAGAGGGACUAUCGGCUUAAGCCGAUGGAGGUACGAGACAAUAACA
rnacentral:rRNA from 1 species